UACGUAGGGGGCAAGCGUUGUCCGGAAUCAUUGGGCGUAAAGAGCGUGUAGGCGGCCCGGUAAGUCUGUUGUGAAAGUCCAGGGCUCAACCCUGGAAAGCCGAUGGAUACUGCCGGGCUAGAGUUCGGAAGAGGCGAGUGGAAUUCCUGGUGUAGCGGUGGAAUGCGCAGAUAUCAGGAGGAACACCUGCGGUGUAGACGGCUUCUGGACCAUUGCUGACGCUGAGACACGAAAGCGUGGGUAGCAAACAGG
rnacentral:rRNA from 1 species